ACGGCUCAGUAACACGUAGACAACCUACCCUCAGCACGGGGAUAAACCCGGGAAACUGGGUAUAAUACCCGAUAGUUCUGGUUAGCUGGAAUGCUAUCAGGACGAAAGCUCCGGCGGCCGAGGAUGGGUCUGCGGCCUAUCAGGUAGUAGUGGGUGUAACGUACCUACUAGCCUACGACGGGUACGGGUUGUGAGAGCAAGAGCCCGGAGAUGGAUUCUGAGACACGAAUCCAGGCCCUACGGGGUGCAGCAGGCGCGAAAACUUUACAAUGCUGGCAACAGCGAUAAGGGGACCUCGAGUGCCAGGAUACAAUCUUGGCUGUCGCGAUGCCUAAAAAGCAUUGCAUAGCAAGGGCCGGGCAAGACCGGUGCCAGCCGCCGCGGUAACACCGGCGGCUCGAGUGGUAACCGCUAUUAUUGGGUCUAAAGGGUCUGUAGCCGGCCGGAUAAGUCUCUUGGGAAAUCCAGCAGCUCAACUGUUGGGCUUUCAGGAGAUACUGUUCGGCUCGAGGCCGGGAGAGGUGAGAGGUACUUCAGGGGUAGGGGUGAAAUCUUGUAAUCCUUGAAGGACCACCAGUGGCGAAGGCGUCUCACCAGAACGGUCCUGACGGCAAGGGACGAAAGCUAGGGGCACGAACCGGAUUAGAUACCCGGGUAGUCCUAGCCGUAAACGAUACUCGCUAGGUGUCAGCCACGGUGCGACCGUGGUUGGUGCCGUAGGGAAGCCGUGAAGCGAGCCACCUGGGAAGUACGGCCGCAAGGCUGAAACUUAAAGGAAUUGGCGGGGGAG
rnacentral:rRNA from 1 species